UCAUUAAGAGGAUGUAACCUCUAGUUGACCUGAGGGCUGGAUCUGGGCAAUAGGAACUUCUUCAGCCCCUCCCCUUAGAAUGUAUGUCCUUCCCACCAUUUCCUACAGCUGGAGCUGUUGUCAAGGAUGCAACUUUGAAAGAGCAACCUGUUGUUGAGGCCAUUGAUGGUACAUGUGACUGAACUAGGCUAUGCGGGUUGUUAGGACUAGCACCCAUUGAUAUGCUCAAGAUUGAAGAAGCUUCCAAAAAUAGCACUAUCACAAAAGGAUUUUUGCACAGAGUGGAAAAGGAAUAAGAGUGGACCUGCGAGGUCAAGGGUAAGAUAUCAAAUGUAUCUACUCUUUUGUUUUUGUUUUUGUUUUUGUAACUGACCACAUUAUCUGAAAUGGGCCUUCUUAUUCAUCUGUUUCCUCUCACAUUACUUUCUACCACAUCAUUGAUUAUCUCUUCCAUGUCAGUUACUACAAUAGAGAGUUAUCUUCAUUUAUGUAUAUAUUUUGUACAUGUAUGAUUUCCUUCACUAGUUUCUAAGUUUCUAAGGACAGACCUUUGCUGUUGUUUUUAAAGAUUGUACUUCCCCAUUGCUGCCAACAAAUGCAUUCUAUGUAGAAGGUAGUUUCAACCAGAAAAUAAGUUUUCCUAU